AUGAUGAAAGACAUCAUCCCUGCCUCCAGCUGGGCCUCGGAAGAGAGCACUGAUUUACAGAACGGGAGCUUUCCCCUUAGCGUGGCCCCCAGGUCAGAGUUUCCCAGACGGAGGGCCUUGGAAGAUUGGCUUCUCUCGGUGUUUCUGGCAGACCAGGCAGAAAGUGAGGGGCAGCUCGUGUUGGAAAGAGUUCGGGACACGCCGCCACCCGUGACCUCUCCUAGAGGUGACGGCAUAUGUGUGAGCAGAGGGAAGGCUCCGAGCAGCCCCGGAGGAAGUACACAUGCGUGGCUUUAUCUAACCAGACAUUUCCCUUGGAGUCCUUUCCCCCACGGAGGGUGGACUGACACCUCAGAACCCUGUGUUCUGGAGACCCUGGGGGGAUCCUCCCUGGCAGCCCUGCGGGGAAACAGUCUCUGGGUGCAGAGCAGCGGUGCCUGUGCUUUUUGUGUUUAUGAGUCACUCAUCGAGCAGUCUUUGCCCAAUGAAAGGUUUGAGGAGCUGUUACUUGGGCCAAGUCCUGGGGAAGUGAUGAAAUAG
rnacentral:lncRNA from 1 species